UACGUAGGGGGCAAGCGUUGUCCGGAAUCAUUGGGCGUAAAGCGCGUGUAGGCGGCCCGGUAAGUCCGCUGUGAAAGUCGGGGGCUCAACCCUCGGAUGCCGGUGGAUACUGUCGGGCUAGAGUGCGGGAGAGGCGAGUGGAAUUCCUGGUGUAGCGGUGAAAUGCGCAGAUAUCAGGAGGAACACCAGUGGCGAAGGCGGCUCGCUGGGCCGGACCUGACGCUGAGGCGCGAAGGCGUGGGGAGCGAACGGG
rnacentral:rRNA from 1 species